CUUUAAAAUUUCAAAUUACCUUCUGUUUAAUUUGUCACAAAUUUAUAAGAAAUUUCUAUUAUAAUAAUGCACUAAUAUAUACUUACAUUUGAAAAAAACCCCCAACUAAAUGUACACCCCUUUCAUACUUGUCAGUUAACAGCCCUGGCACAAACGCCUUUAGCAAAAUAUUCAAGAGAGAAUGUAAAGUUUGAACAGGAGCACUUUUUCAUACGGGAUUGAAUUUUGAGGUUUUCACCACAUUCAUUCACACUUUACAUCUCCAUAUUCACAGACCUUUCCAAUGGGCCUUAUGCAGGUAUCCGUCCAAUUUCCAGGAAUUUUAGUUACAAUACUGGACAUUUUAUGUGUUGUUUAUAUCAUCAUUACGAGUUUUCACCAAAAAUUUUGAAUCAAUAGGAUUAAUUCCUCCUGAG